UAGCUAGUUGGUGAGGUAAAGGCUUACCAAGGCGACGAUCUGUAGCGGGUCUGAGAGGAUGAUCCGCCACACUGGAACUGAGACACGGUCCAGACUCCUACGGGAGGCAGCAGUGGGGAAUUUUGGACAAUGGGGGCAACCCUGAUCCAGCCAUGCCGCGUGAGUGAAGAAGGCCUUCGGGUUGUAAAGCUCUUUCGGCCGGGAAGAAAUCGCAUGGGCCAAUACCCUGUGUGGAUGACGGUACCGGAAUAAGAAGCACCGGCUAACUACGUGCCAGCAGCCGCGGUAAUACGUAGGGUGCGAGCGUUAAUCGGAAUUACUGGGCGUAAAGCGUGCGCAGGCGGUUUUGUAAGACAGGCGUGAAAUCCCCGGGCUUAACCUGGGAACUGCGUUUGUGACUGCAAGGCUAGAGUACGGCAGAGGGGGGUGGAAUUCCACGUGUAGCAGUGAAAUGCGUAGAGAUGUGGAGGAACACCAAUGGCGAAGGCAGCCCCCUGGGUCGAUACUGACGCUCAUGCACGAAAGCGUGGGUAGCAAACAGGAUUAGAUACCCUGGUAGUCCACGCCCUAAACUAUGUCAACUAGGAGUUGGGUGGGUAAAACCAUUUAGUGCCGUAGCUAACGCGUGAAGUUGACCGCCUGGGGAGUACGGCCGCAAGGUUAAAACUCAAAGGAAUUGACGGGGACCCGCACAAGCGGUGGAUGAUGUGGAUUAAUUCGAUGCAACGCGAAAAACCUUACCUACCCUUGACAUGCCAGGAACUUGCCAGAGAUGGCUUGGUGCCCGAAAGGGAGCCUGGACACAGGUGCUGCAUGGCUGUCGUCAGCUCGUGUCGUGAGAUGUUGGGUUAAGUCCCGCAACGAGCGCAACCCUUGUCGUUAAUUGCCAUCAUUUGGUUGGGCACUUUAACGAGACUGCCGGUGACAAACCGGAGGAAGGUGGGGAUGACGUCAAGUCCUCAUGACCCUUAUGGGUAGGGCUUCACACGUCAUACAAUGGUCGGUACAAAGGGUUGCCAAGCCGCGAGGCGGAGCCAAUCCCAGAAAGCCGAUCGUAGUCCGGAUUGCAGGCUGCAACUCGCCUGCAUGAAGUCGGAAUCGCUAGUAAUCGUGGAUCAGCAUGUCACGGUGAAUACGUUCCCGGGUCUUGUACACACCGCCCGUCACACCAUGGGAGCGGGUUCCGCCAGAAGUAGGUAGCCUAACCGCAAGGGGGGCGCUUACCACGGCGGGGUUCGUGACUGGGGUGAAGUCGGAACAAGGUAGCCGUAGGGGAACCUGCGGCUG
rnacentral:rRNA from 1 species